CUGAGAAAGAGAGAGGGAGGGAGGGAGAGCGAGAGAGGUUUUGCAGAGGCUCUACUACUUCGGGCUUACGGCACACGGAUACCGAAUGUCGGCCAGUAUUUUGUCCCAAUCGCUGUUUUUGAAACUUAACUCUGAGGAAACUUUAAGGAACUACCACAAAAGAGAAAAAGACUCCGACGGACAGACAUAGGGGGAUCGGAAAAAGUGUUGGAUCGCGGAUCGUCUCCAUCUGUAUCUGAGAUUUGUGUGCGUCCGAGAAAGAAAAGGGGGGCUCUAUUGGAAAUUCUCUAACCCCCAGCGGGACGCUCACAGUCGUCUUCUCCAAAGUCCCUCCAAGGAAGCCUGAGUUUGCUGGGAUCAAAUUAAGGCCACCGACUGAUGCCGUUUCAACUUUCCAUGAGAGGGCUUGAAGGUGCUAUCCCAGGGUUCUGAGCGCCAAUGCCAGUGGACAUGCAGCCGCACCAGGGGCUGUUUCAGUAUGAGCCCGCACCCAGCCACCCGUCCAGAGGCCUGACCCCUUCCGCAAGUUCGGCGUAUAUUGAUGCCUCUUCGCUCCGCCCCCGACCCCCAAACGGCCAAUCCCCCGACGGCAGAGCCAUGUACAACCCCCUGACCCCCAACAUGACCCCCGGCCCCUGCAUGGACCCUUACAUGCGGCCCCCCCACGGCGGCCAUCCCCCGCACGGCAUGCUGGGACAUCGGGGUCUGCCCCCGGCCGAGGCAGGGGGUCAUGGCUCCGCCUACUGCAGCCAGAACAGCCUGAUGUCAUCGCAGCACUUCCCCAUGGGCCCACCCAGCAUGGAUCACACUGCAGUAGGAGACGGUUCGCGGUUCUCCACCCCCCGCUCCAUGCUGAAGCUGAGUAAGAAGCGGGCUCUGUCCAUCUCCCCGCUCUCCGACGCCAGCGUGGACCUGCAGACAGUCAUACGCACCUCGCCCAACUCCCUGGUGGCCUUCGCCAACUCCCGCUGCGGACCCAACAGCGCCGGCUCCUACGGGCACCUGUCUGUCAGCGGCAUGAGCCCCUCAAUGGGAUACUCCAGCUACCAGUCCAGGCCCCAGGGCAACAUGUACGGUGCUGGGACACCCCUGGUACACCCCCCCGGACCCUGCCAACCGCCCCGCAUGCUGUCCCACAACCCCCGGCUCCACGUCCCUCCCAAACACUGCCAUCAGAUGAAGACAGAGCCGGUCCUGGGCAGCGUGAUGGAUGCUCUGGCCGUUAAGGGUUUGGAGGACAGGUCAGAGGGGGACGUGGCCAGCCCCUCCUCCACCGGGACACAGGAUCCUCUCUUGGGGCUGCUGGAGGGGAGAGAGGACCUGGACAAAGAGGACGGGAAACCGGAGCCGGAGGCCAUCUACGAGACCAACUGCCACUGGGAGAACUGCAGCAAGGAGUUCGACACACAGGAACACCUUGUGCAUCACAUCAACAACGAGCACAUCCACGGGGAGAAGAAGGAGUUUGUGUGCCACUGGCAGGACUGCUCGCGGGAGCAGCGCCCCUUCAAGGCGCAGUACAUGCUGGUGGUGCACAUGCGCCGGCACACCGGCGAGAAGCCGCACAAGUGCACUUUUGAAGGCUGUAACAAGGCGUACUCUCGGCUGGAGAACCUGAAGACUCACCUGCGCUCCCACACCGGAGAGAAGCCCUACGUCUGCGAGCACGAGGGCUGCAACAAGGCCUUCUCCAACGCCUCCGACCGCGCCAAGCACCAGAACCGCACACACUCCAACGAGAAACCCUACGUGUGUAAGAUCCCGGGCUGCACCAAGCGCUACACGGACCCCAGCUCCCUGCGCAAGCACGUGAAAACCGUGCACGGGCCCGAGGCACACAUCACCAAGAAGCACCGCGGCGACGCCGGGCCCCGCCCCCCCGGCUCACUGCUGCCCCCGCCAGGGCAGGGCCUGGAACUGCUCCCAGAGAAGGAGGAGAGCCGCCGAGAGGACUGCAAACUGCUGGCGCCAGAGAGCAGCCUGAAAUCCCAGCCCAGCCCUGGCGGCCAGUCUUCCUGCAGUAGCGAACGCUCGCCACUGGGGAGCGCUAACAACAACGACAGUGGGGUGGAGAUGAACGCCAAUGCGGCGGGCAGCCUGGAGGAUCUGACGGCGCUGGAGGACGGGGGCGGGGCGGGAGGGGGCGAGGGCGGGGCUCUGGCGUUGGGCGUGCCUGCUCAGGCCCUGAAGAGGCUGGAGAACCUCAAGAUCGACAAGCUGAAGCAGGUCCGCCGGCCCACGCCGCCCGGUCGCCCCGUCGCCAUGGGCAACAGCAAACUGCCAGCGCUAACAGCUCCAGGAGAUGUACUGGGCAUGUGCGCGCCCUCCCCUGUGCUGUCCAACCGCCGUGUGCUGGAGCUGUCCAAUCUGGAGCUGGGGGGCGGCUCGGGGGGCGUGGCCUGCUCCGGCCCCAACGACCGGCGGGGCAGCAGCACCAGCAGCCUCAGCUCCGCCUACACCGUGAGCCGCCGGUCCUCCAUGGUCUCCUCCUACCUGUCCAGCCGCCGGUCCAGCGAGGUGUCCCAAGUUGGGGGAGUGGGGGGCCACCCCCAGAACAUUCCAGGCCAGGAUCCCGCGGGACACCCCCUCUCCCCAGAGAGCGGCCGCCUGCCGGGCCUCCCCAGCCUGACACCGGCCCAGCAGUACAGCCUGAAGGCCAAAUACGCGGCCGCCACCGGGGGGCCCCCCCCCACACCCCUGCCCAACAUGGAGUCCCAGGGGACUCCCCGGCGGAUGGGAGGGGGGUUCCCCAGCGAGUACCAGCCACUGCCCCCCCCGUUCCAGCUCCAGGGCGGCUCAGCCCGCCGCCACAGCGCCAACACCGAGUACGGGACGGGGGUCCUGUACCCCCACCAGGCGCCCGGGAACGGAGUCCGGCGGGCCAGCGACCCCGCGGCGCGCUCAGGGGCGGAGCCUCAGCCGCUUCCCAGGGUGCAGCGCUUCGGGAGCCUGGGGAACGUGGCGCUGCAGGCGGGGGGAGGGCGGCGGAACGCGCUGGCGCACUGCGGUUCUGACUCCGUCCUGGCCGCGGGCCGCCACGCCUACCCGCCGCGCCCGCCCAGCAUCACCGAGAACGUGGCGAUGGAGGCCGCUGGGGCGGAGCCUGGCGGGGGGGACAGCCUCAUGAUGGCGCCACCCGGCGGUCACAGGGGGUACGGCAGGUUCCAGAACCAACACACCCACCCUGCCCACCACCAGGGGGCGCCCUCCCAGCUCUCCCCGGCCCACGACCGGCUGGGCUACCCCGAGCAGGCCUACUUCGGCGGGGACAUAGGGGCGGAAGAGGGCAUGUCGUCUGGCACCAGCCUGCUCCAGCAGGCCGAAUACGGCAUGAGCGCCUGUCAGCUCAGCCCCUCCGGCCCCCAGUACCCCUCUACCCUCGGGCAAGUGGCCGGGGAGGCCGGGGUGGGGCCGGGGCCCUGGGGAGGACACGUCCAGAUGCAGCCCAUGGCCACGGGGCCACAGGACGGGGUGCAUUACCCGAGCCAGCAGGGCCUGUUCCCAGGGAACCCCCAGAAGCUGGUCAUAAAGCCAGAGCAGCAGUACCACCCCGCCCUGGGGGCUCCCAACCAGUGCCAGAACAUGAAGCAGCACCUGACUCUGCCUGGAUACGGCCAGCAGCCCAUGCCCCGCCCCGCCAACUCCAGCUGUGACUUCCAGGGCCAGGGUCGGAUGGAGGCCCAGCAGCACAGCUCCUUCCAGGGCCAGGGUCGGAUGGAGGCCCAGCAGCACAGCUCCUUCCAGGGCCAGGGCCGGAUGGAGGCCCAGCAGCAGAGCUCCUUCCAGGGCCAGGGCCAGGGCAGGAUGGAGACCCAGCAGCACAGCUUGUUCCAGGGCCAGGGUCAGAUGGAGGCCCAGCAGCACAGCUCCUUCCAGGGCCAGGGUCAGAUGGAGCCCCAGCAGCAGAGCUUGUUCCAGGGCUGCGAUGGGCGCAGGUCCCACACACCCAUGAUGCAGGUGAAGGAGAUGAUGGUGCGCAACUACGUGCAGUCCCAGCAGGCCCUCCUGUGGGAGCAGCAGCAGAGGGGACCGCUGGACGGGGGCAUGGGCGGGAAGGUGGGUGGGGCUCAGGGCCAGGAGAUGAGCAGGCAGGGUUCCGCCAUGCAGCAACAGCAAGAGGACAGCCCCCAUCACCACCAGCACCACCAGCAGCAUCACCACCAGCACCACCCGUCCCAGAAUCUCUACAGCGGGGGGAAUGGCUACCAGGGCUACCCCGCCCAAAACCUCAUGAGCCCGUCUGCGGGGCAGCCCAAAGACCAGCUCAUGGGCCUGCCAGGGUCCUGCUACGACCUGGACAUGGUGGUCCCCAGACCCCCGCAGGGCCGAAAGCCCCCAAGCCGCCAGAACAGCCUGUCCCAGCAGCAGGGCGGGGGGUACCUGUCCAGCCCCCCCCACGUCAGCCCGAGCCACUCCUCCACCAGCCCCCGCAGAGGCGUGCGCCUGCCCCCCGUCCCACAGCAGCCGCUGCAGCCACACCCGGACGCCAUGCCGGACCCCAAUACCGCCAUGUUCUACUCAGGCCAGAUCCACAUGCACCCGGACCUGGACAAGCAGCUCCACCACCAGGGGACCGGUCCCUGCCUCAACCACAUGGGGGCGCUGGAGGGCAAGUCGGCCUCGCUGGCCUACCCACCUGACCCCACCCCCAUUGCCAAUGCUCUGGACAACCUGGACCUGGACAGCGCUCAGAUCGACUUUGCCGCCAUCGUGGACGACCCCGAGGACUCCUCCCCCUUCGGGCCCCUGCAGGGGGGCCCACAGCACCCCUCCUCCUCCCAGACCUCCUCCCGCCUCACCACACCCCAGACCUCCCUCUCCCUCCCCCCGGGGGGUCUCUCCAACAUGGCUGUCGGAGAUAUGACCUCCAUGCUCACUUCCCUGGCAGGAGAAAACAAGUAUCUCAACACGCUCUCCUAGAAGAGGACUGUCUAUUAGCAGAUGGGUUUUUUUAUGAAGCCAGAUAUGGACGGAGUUCCAUAUGCUAUCACCCAUCAUUGUGUUUCUAUCAUGGAGAAGACAAGCUUUUGAUUGGUUCACCCUCAUGAUUGACUGGUCAUUGUGGCUCCAUUCAUUAUUGUAUGAAUGAAUCCUCACUCUCCCAUCACGAGUGACACCAGCAACCCCCGCCCCCUUCUGUCUCAUCCAGUCAGGACAGACAGACAGACUGACAGACAGACAGGAGUUUAAAAAGCCUGCUGCCUUCUCAGCCAAACCAAAGGGUGCCUCUGGAACAUUUUCUUACACUGGGGGGGGGGGGUCAGACAGUGUUUGUCAGUAGCAUUCCCCCAACAGAACAGUUUUCCCUGCUUGGAUUUCUGGGAUACACCUGUUACCUGCAGAACGAACACACCAUGGCAACAGUGGUACUGAAAGUUUACAUUAGAUGUAAAUAAGGCCAAGGCUUAUAUAUGCUGUGUAUAUGGUGAUACUGACUGAGAAGAGAGUAGCUGCUUGGUGAGUUACAUGUACUGUGUGUCUGAGGGGCUACUGGACUUUCAAACGGCUCACAGCCUAACAAAAGAACCACAAAGGACUUGGUGAGGAGCGGGCUGUGAGCCCAAAAGCUGCAGAACCAGAACCAGAACUUUUUACUCUCUUACAUAACCCAAGGGCGUAAUCCUGACGGAAACAUACUGAACAGCACAGUGUUUUUAUUUUAGAUAGAGCUACGCUGGACUUUGAAUGUUUUAAAUCCCGAGCUAUAAGCAAAAGGGUUUGUUCUACAGCCAAGGAGGGGGUUCCUCGUUCCCCGUUCCCCAUUAAGUGCCUUUCCCUGGGGGGGGUGCCGUUUGCGGCCCCCGUCCUGAACGGCCGCAGACGCUGCAGGUAGGGGGCGGGGCCAAAGGACCCGAGGGAGUUUGAUGGACAGCGGUACAGAACCAGGCCCGUUUCCCACUCUGGUUAAAGACGGCAGUAUUUCCUGUGCUCGAUCGACUUUGUCCUCAACAAAAACAUGCAGCCUACAGUGCAAGGGACAGUUUGUACUAAACAUUGCAGUAGUAUUAAGACUCUUCAGUCGUUCAGAAGGUAUAAAAUCUCCUGGUGUGGAGGUGCUGUCUGUUUGGUACCAGCGCAGGGCGGCACAAAGAGGGCCUGCUUGUGGGUUCCCUGGCUGUUUCGGCUCUUUAUUGUUUUGUUAGCCCAAUCGUUCAUUGGAUCAUACAUUUCCUUUGAAGCCCUGGGCGCCAGAAUUCAUACGUGUCCGAUGUAGGACCGAUCUGAACGCCGCUUCAAAAAUUAAACCAAAUGUUUUUGGUUGGAAGAAAAUCCGUGACCAGAGCUGCUGUGCCCUGCUGGAAUGACUCGAGGAAGCUGGUGGCCUGAAGGUCCUGCUCUGCUCCAGGGUCUCUGGGGCCGGUGGCCUGAAGGUCCUGCUCUGCUCCAGGGUCUCUGGGGCCGGUGGCCUGAAGGUCCCGCUCUGCUCCAGGGUCUCUGGGGCCGGUGGCCUGAAGGUCCUGCUCUGCUCCAGGGUCUCUGGGGCCGGUGGCCUGAAGGUCCUGCUCUGCUCCAGGGUCUCUGGGGCCGGUGGCCCCAAGGUCCCGCUCUGCUCCAGGGUCUCUGGUGCCGGUGGCCUGAAGGUCCUGCUCUGCUCCAGGGUCUCUGGGGCCAGUGGCCCCAAGGUCCUGCUCCAGGGUCUCUGUGGCCGGUGGCCCCAAGGUCCCGCUCUGCUCCAGGGUCUCUGGGGCCGGUGGCCUGAAGGUCGCGCUCUGCUCCAGGGUCUCUUGGGCCGGUGGCCUGAAGGUCGCGCUCUGCUCCAGGGUCUCUGUGGCCGGUGGCCCCAAGGUCCCGCUCUGCUCCAGGGUCUCUGGGGCCGGUGGCCUGAAGGUCCCGCUCUGCUCCAGGGUCUCUGGGGCCGGUGGCCUGAAGGUCGCGCUCUGCUCCGCGGUCCCUAGGGCCAGUCCUGGAGAGUCAGGUCUCCACUCGCCAGCAGAGACAGAGUGCAUUGUGGGCCUGUGGAGCGCAGCAGCAGCAGGCUGUGACGGGCGGCCCCACAGGGGGGGACUCAGGCGUCGCUCCAGGAGGGGAGUGUUUCGGCUGGCUGGGACGGCAGGGCCUCAGCGCUCACUGGUGACCCCUGCUGGUCGACCGGGCGCCUGCCUGUUCAGCUGCACACACAGUGCCUUCUCCUGUCUUUGUGAGCCCGACUGCAGCGGGAUAAGAAGAAGAGGCCGACAGAGCGCGCUUCGUCUCCACGAUAAGCGCCUGUCGUGGCUCGCAGCGCUGAUGAAUAUGAUCAGGCAUUACAAAUCGAGAGAGAAGAGGGGGAAAUGCGGGAAAAAAAGAAAUGUGCAGGAAACUGGUGGAAAGUUGGGCCGCAGCCGGGCAGCUCACCCCUUCAGUUUUUUUACUGUCUUCAAUUAGUUCAAAACCCACCGUAAGCAGAAUGCAGCCCCUACCAUUAACUCUUUGAAGAGUUAGCAUUUUGGAAUGUCUUUCCAACAUUCUAAGUCAGUGUUCUAGAACUCUGUUGCAUUCAGUUGCCAGUAGCGAUUGUUACAUCAGCAUUAGAAUGUUCCGCUAAGAACAUUCUUAUCGCAUAUUUGUGAUGUCACACCUUAAAGGGCUGAAGACAAUGCCUCCAGACCCUCUUUGACAAUAACAGCCUGUAUCUCCAGCUGUUGCUCAUGUUUGUUUUUUAUGUGAAUUGGGUAGGAGCUCAUCUGAUUCCCCUCAGUCUCCUAAGCUUGGCCAACCAAAGAUUAUUUGAAUUGACAAUAAAACAUAAGACAAAACGAUGCACAUAAAAUAUAAAUUUACAACAAAACAAAAAAAAGAGAAAACAAAAGCUGACUAUGGUCACGAUGAGACGGUAUUGUUGCAGAGACCGUGAUGCAUUUUAUAUAUUGGGGUCACUUUUCUUUUGUUAUACGACUAUAACCUUUGUGGAUUUUCUAUUUGUGUGUUUUGAUAUCUUUCACAGUUCAAUCAAAGUUUUUGCUGGCAAAAGAAUGGUAAAUAUAGCAACAAAGGCAAUAACAGUAGCGUUUACUACAUCUAUAUAAGGAAGCCAAGUGAUAUAUUUUUGUGUACUGUUUUCUAUGUUUUUUAUAUAAAUGUAUUAUAUUUUACCAGUUUAUAAAUAAACAUGUUCAGACUGCUAUGGACACAA